UGAGGAAUAUUGGUCAAUGGUCGCUAGACUGAACCAGCCAAGUAGCGUGCGGGAUGAAGGCCCUCCGGGUCGUAAACCGCUUUUAGACGGGGAUAAAAGGGCGUACGUGUACGCCGUAUUGCAUGUACCGUCAGAAAAACGGACCGGCUAAUUCCGUGCCAGCAGCCGCGGUAAUACGGAAGGUCCGGGCGUUAUCCGGAUUUAUUGGGUUUAAAGGGAGCGUAGGCGGACUUUCAAGUCAGUGGUAAAAUCGUGCGGCUCAACCAUACCUCGCCAUUGAAACUGGAAGUCUGGAGUGCACACAGGGGUGCCGGAAUUCAUGGUGUAGCGGUGAAAUGCUUAGAUAUCAUGAAGAACUCCGAUCGCGAAGGCAAGUGCCCGGGGUGCAACUGACGCUGAGGCUCGAAGGUGCGGGUAUCGAACAGAAUUAGAUACC
rnacentral:rRNA from 1 species